UGCCUCGCUCGCUAGAUCCGAACACGUCCGUUGAGCUCUCUCCUUCGUUGCCGCCACAAACCUCGCCUCCCUCCGCCAUAGGCUCCUGGCCCCUAGACCUUGCCGUAGAUUAGGCCUGGGCUUGCCCUUCUCUUUCCCGUCCGCGGAGGACGCCUAGGCCUGGGGCAGCACUUCUCCCUCCUAGCCGCUGCUGCCUCCUCCCCACUUCUGGUCAUCGCCUGCUGCUCACGCCCUCCUCAGCGGUCAGCGGAUCUGGGGCCGACGGCCAUCGCCUCCCCCGCCUCAUCUCCCUCUCUCUUUCCUCGCCACCGGCUGCCCGCCCGCCACCACCGGCCACCCGCUGGUCGACCUGCGCCCCCUUUGGCGCGAUGGUGCUGCAGCCCUUCACCCCCACCCCCUGCGCCCAAGAGGGCAGAGCUCCGUGGCCCGACCAGCCGACCACCUCCCAACGCCUCCUGAUCCCUUCCUCGCACGCCUCGCGUUGCCGCCGUCACCCCGUCCCGCCUCCGUCGUCGUCGCGCCCUGCACGACCGCCACCGUCCCCCGUCGUUGUCGCAGUCCCUGCCUGGGCCCACGCGGCAUGCCGCGUCCCUGCGACCUCCGUCCCUCGCCGUCCUAGCCCCGACCCUCCCAUCCCCAAGGGGUUCACGGUGCUCUAGGCCUGCUAGGUCGUCGGCUGCAGUAUUCUUGUGAUGUGUAGGAAAUUAAGGGAAGAGAUUCUGAGGCCCAUGAGAAGGCCGCCAUGGACUUCACUGACCUACCUCGUUAGGGUAAAUCGGAAGGAGUAGCAGCACAUGGCAAGCAACAGGGGUCCAACUUUUGAUGUCAAUGUAAUAGGCAAAUGAAAAUCGCCUCCUAAUGUGAAAGAGCAGAGUAAAGCAGAAGGAGUAUCAGUACAAAGCAAGCUACGGAGGUCCAAUAUUUGAUGUCAAGAGCGGACUGACAACACUGCCAAUCGAAGAGGGGGAGAAAGAGGGAUGUCGUGAGUCUUUUAGUCGUCGUAACAUAGCUUCUUUGUGCGUGGUAUUUCUGGGAUCAUUUUGACUUCAAAAGCUGCAACCGACGAAACAAAUUUGUACCACUUGUAGGUGUGGGAAGAUAAAGUAGAUUUUUCAUAAUUAGUUGGUUCUUCUAUCCAAGCCAAUCAUAAUGUGCAUUUAAUCAUUUAUUUGCUAUUAGAAACUUUUGUAUUUUUUCCUCAAAAGCAUUUUGUAUUUAUAUAUAUGAUCGGAGAAUAUUGCCGAUGAAUUAUUGGAAGUCUGAUCACAUUUUCAGUUCCGUUGUUGAUUUGA